CAAUACUAAUUAAAACACACUAAAUUAAACCCAGAAACACAAAAUCCCAUCAAAUCUAAAUUCCCUGCUUUAAGAUCCAUAACAUUUAAUGAUCAUCAAUAAACUAAUUAAAGUAACUCAUAAAUACAUAUACAUACUGCAAAGAGCCACAAUGAUUAGCGAUACCAAAAAUUAAUGUUUUAACUAUAGAUCCAAUUCUUACUCAAAUCAUUUUCUUCCCGUGAACAAUAAUUACAAUAAAAAAUCCAUUUAGAAACAUAAUAAUAAACCACAAACAUAAAUUACUUGUGCCAAUUGAGACCUAGAACAGCGGUGACGGAGCGAACGGUGACCAUCUCAAAAAGCAGAGCGACGAUAUCAUAAAAAACAUGGAUGCUAUGAAGAUGAGUGCCGACCGGAGCUCCACCGACCAGUGCUUGUAAAAUGGUAUCCGAACAACAGCCACCAGUGAGAGUAGGACCCACAACACCGGCUGCAGCCACUCGUGCCACGCCGGCGAUAUGUGGCGGAGGUAGUUCACGCCGACGUAGGUCAUUGCGGCCAAACCCAGUCCGCCUCGUAGCGCCGGCCACCACGACGCCCGUGGCGGCGACGACCUCAUGGACGCUCGUGAAAUGGAGCUUGGGGUUUUGAAGGAGAGAGAAAAUGAUAAUUUUCUUGAGCUGAUACUUCCACGCCUUGAGCUGUUCUAUGCUUUGGAUCGUACAUUAGGGGCUGGGUAUGCAGAAGAGGAGGGUUGAGAGAUAAGAGAUUUGAACUGUGUGUGUCUAAGAACAGAUAGAGGGUUUGAACAGAUAGAGAUAGAGAGAUAGAGGGUUUCAACUGUGUGCGUAAGAACAUAGGGAGAGAGAUAAGAGGGUUUAAAAUUUGAAUACCAGAGCUGAUGAUGUGGAAUUAGAUGGGA
rnacentral:lncRNA from 1 species